GACAGAGGGUGCAACCGUUGUUCGGAAUUACUGGGCGUAAAGCGUGCGCAGGCGGUUUUGUAAGUCAGAUGGGAAAUCCCCGGGCUCAACCUGGGAAUGGCAUUUGGGACUGCAAGGCUUGAGUGCGGCAGAGGAGACUGGAAUUCCUGGUGUAGCAGUGAAAUGCGUAGAUAUCAGGAGGAAUACCGAUGGCGAAGGCAGGUCUCUGGGCUGACACUGACGCUCAUGCACGAAAGCGUGGGGAGCAAACAGG
rnacentral:rRNA from 1 species